GUAGGCUGCUUCAAGCCAUUGCCAAACCAGAGGUAAAUUAUUCAUUAUCGUUAAUUAACUAACAAAAUCUGCAAUCCUCCUUCUUAAUCUGUGCUGACUGGAAACACCAUAGCGAAUCAGCAACCACUCAAAAUAAUACAUCCCACCUGUUAAACAUCCUCCAAAUCACAGCUCACCCAGAAAACAGGACCCCUUCUGCUAGUGACGGGACAGCAGUUCAGGAAGAGUCCACUGCUAGCUAUUUCUAAAGAAGACUUUAAUAUCCUGGUGUGGCCCACAUCCCAAAACCACAGGAUAAACAAGGAGUGUCUUCCUGAACCAUUGGUUCUGCUUAGUGAUGGAGGUAAGAGCUGUGCAGAAGAGAAAGCUGGGCCUGAAAAUGCAUGUGACCUCGUCUAGGAUGGAGCCUUGGGGAAAUUCUCUGAGGAAGUGAUCACUGAGCUGACUGCUGAAGGCUGCACGGGAGACAACCAGGGGAAGAGAAAGAUGAAAAUCAUUCUGGCCAAAAUAACAUUUUGCACAGUUGGUGAAGUCUCUUGAGGAUGGACUAGAACGCUUGUGGAAAGCUUACAGACUGGCCACAGGGACUGUUUGCCUGCAUCGCUCAGCAUGAACACUGUGUGCUGCGUUGGAGUAGAAAUGAGGCCAUGUCUCAGUUUAGAGAAGGUGCUUCAGGAGGCGAUGUG
rnacentral:lncRNA from 1 species